GACGUAGGGUGCAAGCGUUGUCCGGAUUUACUGGGCGUAAAGGGCGCGUAGGCGGAUGUUUAAGUCGGGGGUGAAAGCCCGGGGCUCAACCUCGGAAUUGCCUUCGAUACUGGACAUCUUGAGUACGGGAGAGGUGUGUGGAACUCCGAGUGUAGAGGUGAAAUUCGUAGAUAUUCGGAAGAACACCAGUGGCGAAGGCGACACACUGGCCCGUUACUGACGCUGAGGCGCGAAAGCGUGGGGAGCAAACAGG
rnacentral:rRNA from 1 species